CCUACGGGUGGCAGCAGUGAGGAAUAUUGGUCAAUGGACGAGAGUCUGAACCAGCAAAGUAGCGUGAAGGAUGACUGCCCUAUGGGUUGUAAACUUCUUUUAUAUGGAAAUAAAAUGUUCCACGUGUGGGAUUUUGUAUGUACCAUAUGAAUAAGGAUCGGCUAACUCCGUGCCAGCAGCCGCGGUAAUACGGAGGAUCCGAGCGUUAUCCGGAUUUAUUGGGUGUAAAGGGAGCGUAGGUGGAUUGGUAAGUCAGUUGUGAAAGUUUGCGGCUCAACCGUAAAAGUGCAGUUGAAACUGGCAGUCUUGAGUACAGUAGAGGUGGGCGGAAUUCGUGGUGUAGCGGUGAAAUGCUUAGAUAUGACGAAGAACUCCGAUUGCGAAGGCAGUUCACUGGACUGCAACUGACACUGAGGCGCGAAAGUGUGGGUAUCAAACAGGAUUAGAUACCCGUGUAGUC
rnacentral:rRNA from 1 species